rnacentral:rRNA from 1 species
CACGCCGUAAACGAUGUCGACUUGGAGGUUGUUCCCUUGAGGAGUGGCUUCCGGAGCUAACGCGUUAAGUCGACCGCCUGGGGAGUACGGCCGCAAGGUUAAAACUCAAAUGAAUUGACGGGGGCCCGCACAAGCGGUGGAGCAUGUGGUUUAAUUCGAUGCAACGCGAAGAACCUUACCUACUCUUGACAUCCACGGAAUUUAGCAGAGAUGCUUUAGUGCCUUCGGGAACCGUGAGACAGGUGC